rnacentral:rRNA from 1 species
AUGCGGAGAUGGCCGCCUCCCAUCCAAGGCGUCGCCCACCGCCGCGCGGCGGCCGCGGCCGCAGCCGCGGCUACGGUUGCACCCCCCACCGGCGAGCUGGUCCGGCAACACAACCGCUCCCUCGCGGCUCUUCUCCGCCGCGGCCGCCUCGCCGCAGCCUGGCGCCUCUUCGACGCUCUCCCAGUCCGCGACGUCGUGACCUGGAACUCGCUCUUAGCGGCGCUAGCCCGCCGCAGCGACGUAAGCGCUGCCAGUGCCUUUUUCGCCUCCAUGCCCGUCCGGGACGUUGUGUCAUGGAACACUCUCCUCGCCGCCUACUCCCGCUCGUCGCACUCCCACCACCUCGCCGCCGCGCGCCGCCUGUUCGACGAAAUGCCACAGCGCGACGGCGUCACGUGGAACACCCUCCUCAGCGCCUAUGUGCGCCGCGGGCUCAUGGGCGAGGCCGGGAAGCUAUUCGACGAGAUGCCGCAGAGGGGCGUCACUUCUUGGAACACGAUGGUCACCGGGUUCUUUGCUUCUGGUCAGGUGAGCAAGGCCCUCGACAUGUUCAAUGCGAUGCCUGUGAAGGACUCUGCGUCUCUGGGCACACUGGUGUCUGGGUUAGCCAAGAAUGGCCGGUUGCAUGAGGCAGAGGAGCUGUUGACAAAGCGCUUGACGGUGAAAGACAUGGACAAGGCUCUUGAUGCUUACAACACACUCAUCGCUGCGUAUGGGCAAGUUGGGAGGGUGGAUGAUGCCAGAAGAUUAUUUGAUAUGAUACCCAGAGGUCAGAAUCAGCACCAGAUGAGCAAUAUGAGGGUGUUUCAGAGAAAUGUUGUGUCAUGGAACACAAUGAUGAUGUGCUAUACCAGAACUGGAGAUGUUUGCUCAGCCAGGAUGCUGUUUGAUGAGAUGCCGGCUAAGAACUUGGAAUCGUGGAACACUAUGGUUGCUGGGUAUGCCAAGGUGUCCAAUAUGCAGGAAGCAGAGCAGCUGUUUUGGGAAAUGCCAGACCCUGAUAUGGUGUCCUGGAAUUUAAUAAUACGAGGAUUCACACAGAUAGGAGAGGUUGAGCAUGCCCGUGGAUUUUUUGAUAGGAUGCCAGAGCGUGCAAUCAUCUCCUGGAAUACAAUGAUAUCAGGUUAUGAACAAAAUGGGGACUAUGAUGGUACAAUUGAGCUGUUUUCAAAGAUGCUAGAAGUUGGUGGGACGCCUGAUCGGCACACCUUCUCUUCAGUUCUAGCAGCAUGUGCGUCGAUCCCUAUGUUGCCCCUUGGAGCUCAGCUCCACCAACUUAUUGAGAAGUCGUUUCUGCCAGAUACUGCAAUUAGCAAUGCCCUUAUAACAAUGUACUCCAGAGGUGGGGCAAUAACUGAUGCGGAAUCCAUCUUCAAUCAGAUGCGUACGCAAAAAUGUUUAGUGUCUUGGAAUGCACUGAUUGGAGGUUAUGAACACCAUGGUCGUGCUACAGAAGCCUUGCAGCUGUUCGAAGAAAUGAGGAGAGCCGGGGUUAUGCCAACACACAUAACUUUCAUUUCUCUUUUGAGUGCAUGUGGAAAUGCUGGCCUUGUCUCUGAAGGAUGGAGGGUUUUCCACACCAUGGUCCAUGAGUAUGGCAUUGCUGCUAGGAUUGAGCACUACUCAGCACUUGUCAAUCUCAUAGGCCGACAUGGUAAGCUUGAUGAUGCAUUGGAGGUAAUCAAUAGCAUGCCGAUUGCUCCGGACCGAUCUGUGUGGGGAUCUUUCCUCGGAGCAUGUACGGCGAAGAAGAAUGAAGCACUGGCUCACAUGGCUGCAAAGGCAUUAUCCAAGAUUGAUCCUGAGAGUUCUGCUCCAUAUGUUCUGAUUCAUAACUUACAUGCUCGUGAGGGAAGGUGGGGAAGUGCAUCUCUGGCAAGGGAAGAGAUGGAACGGCAAGGUGUUCACAAGCAUGCUGGGUACAGCUGGAUUGAUUUGCACGACCAGGUGCAUGCCUUCAACGCAGGAGAUACCUCCCAUCCCUUUAUCCAGGAGAUAUAUUCAGUCCUAGAAUGUUUUGACAUGUCAUCCAGAGAUUGGAGCUAG